rnacentral:rRNA from 1 species
CGGGACUCUUACGAGGCCUCGUAAUCGGAAUGAGUACACUUUAAAUAUUUUAACGAGGAACAAUUGGAGGGCAAGUCUGGUGCCAGCAGCCGCGGUAAUUCCAGCUCCAAUAGCGUAUACUAAAAUUGUUGCGGUUAAAAAGCUCGUAGUUGCAUUUGUGCGCCGCGCUGUCGGUGCACCGCAUUAGCGGUGAUACUGACACGUUUGCGGAGCAUAUCGUCGGUGAGCCGCCGGUAAAACGGCGGUUCAAUAUAAAAAUCCUAUCGCGGUGCUCUUCAGUGAGUGUCGAGAUGGGCCGACAAUUUUACUUUGAACAAAUUAGAGUGCUCAAAGCGGGCUCAAAAUGCUGCUUGAAUAUUUCGUGCAUGGAAUAAUAGAAUAUGAUCUCGGUUCUAUUUUGUUGGUUUUCAGAACUCCGAGGUAAUGAUUAAUAGGGAUAACUGGGGGCAUUCGUAUUGCGACGUUAGAGGUGAAAUUCUUGGAUCGUCGCAAGACGAACAUCAGCGAAAGCAUUUGCCAAAGGUGUUUUCAUCAAUCAAGAACGAAAGUUAGAGGUUCGAAGGCGAUUAGAUACCGCCCUAGUUCUAACCGUAAAUAUGUCAUCUAGCGAUCCGCCGACGUUAUUACAAUGGCUCGGCGGGCAGCUUCCGGGAAACCAAAGAUUUUGGACUCCGGGGGGAGUAUGGUUGCAAAGCUGAAACUUAAAGGAA